UGGCUUUUUAGAAGAUUGUUUUCUUAUAUUUUUUCUAUUUUGAAUUAAACUUUUUUUUUGCAGUUUCUUUGGUUGGUGGACCACUACACACCCAUUUUUUUGUUGAUAUUGCUAAAUUGCAGACUAAGCAUAUAUUGAUUUUGCUGAGAUAUACAAUAAUUCUUCAUUGGACAAGAGACGAUGGUUCAACCUAUCAAGACUUGGCAUGGCCCUUGUCACUACUCUGCCGCUAGGUUAAAUGUUCAGAAAGUUUACCAGUGCAGAAUUUGUUGGCUUUGCCAACUGCUCCACUGUACAAUCACUCGUUAAUACUAAGAGGUCAUUGUUCUACCAUGAAAAGGCUGCAGGGAUGUACUCAAUAUUGCCAUAUCCCCUUUAUCAGGUAUUUGCUUAUCUUUGUUAGCAUUCA